UCUGGAAAUCUCCCCGGGGCUGGCCGGUCCUCCAAGUGGUCCAGUACUGUAGUAGAAAUAUGUCGACAGUCCGGAUACUUAGGAAAUCCGGACACCCGUGUUCUAGGAUGCACUUUUCUAGUGAGGUAGGGCGAGGUUUAAUCGUAUUUUAAAAAAAAUUUUUUUCCUUUGUUUAUUGGUGUGUUCGCUUUUCAUUAUCCCUUACAUUAAGAGUGCUUCAGUUGAUUUUUAUAAGUAGUGUUUCCAAGAGUGGUAAACAAAAGCUGAUAUUUCUUGCAUCAUAGAACAUUGCUUCGGAUUGUCUUACCACGGAGGAAGAGGCAAAAGGACUCCUGUGGAAAGUAGAACUGUUUGUUCAUUUCUCAGAAUGUGUUUCAGAGCUGAUCAGUGGAACCUGACACUGCUGCCUGAUGCUGAAAGGCCUGAAAAGGACCCACAUCUCUGCGCACACUGCCCCUCCUGAAACCAUGGUUGUCUCUUCAGUGUUGACUGUACCCCAUACUGGGACAUCCCACACAACAUUUGUAAUCUACGAAAACUCUGACAUGAAUGUUACUGUCCAUCCACCAUUCCAGCAUCCCAGUGCUGGUUCACUGCUUAGGUACAGUUUUGAAAAAAUGACUAUAACUGGUUUGAGUUCCUUGGCAGUGAAUAGUACAGCUGUGACCCCAAUGGCAGCAGUUUUUAAGAGCCUAAACUUGCCUCUCCAGAUCAUACUUUCAGCUCUAAUGAUAUUUAUUCUGACUGUGUCUUUUCUUGGGAAUUUGGUCGUUUGCCUCAUGGUUUACCAAAAGGCUGCUAUGCGAUCUGCAAUUAACAUCCUCCUUGCCAGCCUGGCUUUUGCAGACAUGUUAUUGGCAGUGCUGAACAUGCCCUUUGCAUUGGUUACUAUCCUUACAACCAGAUGGAUAUUUGGGAAAUUCUUCUGUAGGUUAUCUGCUAUGUUUUUCUGGUUGUUUGUCAUAGAGGGAGUUGCUAUCCUGCUCAUAAUUAGCAUUGACAGGUUCCUCAUCAUAGUCCAGAGGCAGGAUAAGCUAAAUCCAUACAGGGCUAAGGUUCUGAUUGCCAUUUCCUGGGCAACUUCUUUCUGUGUCUCUUUCCCUUUGGCUGUAGGAAAUCCUGACCUGCAGAUCCCUUCCCGAGCCCCCCAGUGUGUGUUUGGGUACACCACCAAUCCAGGUUACCAGGCUUAUGUGAUUGUGAUUUCGCUUGUUUCUUUCUUCAUACCUUUCCUGGUGAUACUGUAUUCAUUUAUGGGCAUCCUCAACACCCUCAGGCACAACGCCUUGAGGAUCCACAGCUACCCCGAAGGAAUGUGCCUCAGGCAGGCCAGCAAACUGGGUCUGAUGAGUCUACAGAGACCCUUCCAGAUGAGCAUUGACAUGGGCUUUAAAACACGUGCCUUUACCACCAUUUUGAUUCUCUUUGCUGUUUUCAUCAUCUGCUGGGCCCCGUUUACCACGUACAGUCUUGUGGCCACGUUCAGCAAGCACUUUUACUAUAAGCACAACUUUUUUGAGAUUAGCACCUGGCUACUCUGGCUUUGCUACCUCAAGUCUGCAUUGAAUCCACUGAUCUACUACUGGAGGAUUAAGAAAUUCCAUGAUGCCUGCCUGGACAUGAUGCCCAAGUCCCUCAAGUUUUGGCCGCAGCUCCCUGCACACACAAGGCGACGGAUUCGGCCUAGUGCUGUCUAUGUAUGUGGGGAGCAUCGGACGGUGCUGUGAAUAUUGGAACUGUCCGACAUUUGGGAUGAUGAUUGUUCUUUAUUGACAGAAACUUUUACAUAUGCCUUCUAAACUUACAGUUUUGUUUUUUUUAGCAGUGUGUAUGUAUAUAUGUGAGCAUUGUAAAGAAAGAAUGGAAAGCAUAGUUAUUUGAAAAGUCCAGCCAACUCCAGCAUCAGCCUUUGGUCUCCAAUAUCUUUUGAUAUUUUAAUUUGUUAUUUUUUACAUUGAAUGUCUGAAGAGCUCCCGACAUGCUAUCAGGAGUUACAAAGCUGGAAGUUUGGUGUCAACAGAGACCUGGGAGACUGGCCUCAGGGAAGCUGUAGCCAUGCUGAAGAGCUCCCAGGACUCAGCCCCAUGGCCUGCCGUGUUAAGUUUGGAUAUAUCACAUGAUAGCCACCUACCUCCUUAAUUUCCAAUUUAUAUUAACCACAGAUAAAGCUAAUUUUAAUUUUGUUCACGGGACACAAGCUCUGUAGUAGGUACUAGUAAGCAGCACAUUGAAAUGCAUUUUGCUUUCUGUUGUCAAUAUAGACUGGAUUUUAAGCAGGUAUUUAUAUGGGUAUUAAAAUUCAAUUUUUAGGACAGAUAGCACGAUCUACAUCAUACACAUUGAUAGCGCUUGUGACUCCUUUUGUGGAGUAAUUGAAACUGAGCUUUGUGUACUAGUGUCUGGCUUUAUGAGCAGUUGAAGGCAGUUUAUGCUGCUGAGUUGGCAGCUUUAUUUGGUGAGAGCUCUGGAGAGCCUGCUGAGCCCGGAUAUACAGUGCUCUUGGGAGAGACUGAGCAGCCAUUCUCUCUAUACUGGAUAAUCUCCAUCACAUUACAGUUUACAUAUCAUUUUGAACAUUUUAUUAUAUAUAUGUAUAUAUAUAUAGAUAGAUAGAUAGAUAGAUAGAUAGAUCUUUUGAAAGCUUUAGAAAAAAUACUAUGGUGCACCUUUGAGAUACUUAGGUGCAAAAUUGCAUGUUGUAUUCCCUCAAAUUUUCUUUAUGAGGGGAAAAUACCACUACUAAUUAUUACUGAUGCCUGACAUGACUUGUUUUUUACUUCUGGCUAAUAAUUAAGGUGCAUAAAAUAUUUGUGAUUAAAAGGAAGAGUAGAAAGAAAGUUUAAAAAUCAGCAGCUAUGAUAUUUAAACUUUAAUAGAUGAUCACAUGUCCCCAGGGAAGGUGUUCCUGGGCCUACAGACUGUCUGUGGUUAGGCUGAGAAUGUUUUACUGAGAAGUUUGAGAGAUUCUGGUUAAGUUGAUCUCUGGGGCACAAUUCUUAGAAAUACCCCUGGAAAAGAUAUAUAUCCACUGGAUUGUCCCAAAAUGGUUGUGUUUUGUUGGAAGCCAUUUACCUCCUGGUGGUGAGGGUCUACACUGAGAGGAAAUCCACAUAUCCUGUGCCUAUCUGGUUGCCCUGUGUAUUAGUGUGUAUUUCCCAAUUUUAACUGGCAGAAUUCUAAUAAAUCAUGCACUCACAGUUGAGCUCAGUAACUUUCCUUUUGGAACUGAUGCUUUCUGGAGCCAGUUAGUCUAAUGCUCCUCUCCUGGAGCCAUCUCUUAGGAUCCAGUUCCCCAGGACAUCUCUGUAAUUUCCUGAAGAUCAUGAAGGAAAUAUAAAGAUUCAUCUAAUUCCUAGUGCUGUUUAUGCCAGUUGUAUUCAAUGGAAGCAUGAAGUAAAAUAAAAUAACAUUUUAGCCUAUGUAUUUUUAUUGCUGACAAAAAUAUUUAAUUUCUUUGAUCUUUUGUUUACAUGAACGUAUAUAUGACAGAAACAUUUCUAAUUGCUUGCCAUUUUAUUUUGCCAUUGUUUUAGUUUAAGUUUAAAGAACUGCUAAGAUGGAAUUUAUUUUCACAAUCAUAAUCCUGCUAAACUGCCUUCACUGAAAUGUCAAUUUUACAAUAAUAAAUGAAAAUAUCAAAGCACAUGUUUGUUAUUGCAAGUAAAUGGUGAUACAUUUCUUAAAUAUCUAUUGGUACUUGUCCUUUGUAAUUAAAAUUAAUUUAUUUUA